rnacentral:misc_RNA from 1 species
UACCAUGGUUACUGUGUCUCUAAUGGCAACCGGAGCCCACUCCCACUAAUAGAGCUUUUCUAUUGGAGUUCUGGAGUGGCGCAGUGUAUCCCACCUCUGCAUACAUGUGACGUCAUCAUUUCGAACCACCAAGAAGCUGCUGUUCCAAGAUGGCCGAACUUUGAUGUUCAUUCUACAGCUUGACUACUGAACAUCACCGAAAAUAGUGAAAACCAUGAAGAUUGUAUAUCGACUCAACUGUCAUUUAAGAUGCUGCACAUUCCCAUCUUGCCUGCUACUUUUCCUGGCCGAAGAGAGGGCGUACCCCUCUGGUGGACCCCCAGUCCCUUGGCUGGAGUGAAAUGACGAAAAAAACGUUUCUUGUAUUGGCCUAAUUGACAGUUCGAUAUAACUAAAUAUCCACGUUUGCAUGCUGUCUCGUUCUUUUCAUUCUCUCUGAGGAGCUGUCUGUGCCUCACGCAGAGAAGUAUCAUUCGUGACUGGCUGUAGCCAUGCCCGUGUCCACGGGGUCAUCCGAGGACCAGUCAGACCUGGAGGAGUUGCCCUUAUUCCGUCCGUUUACCAAAGAAUCCUUGGCAGCCAUCGAGGCCCGGAUUGCUGAGGAAGCGGCGCGGAAAAAAGAGCUUGCCGAAAAGGAGUUAGAAGAUGCUGCGACUGGAGAAGGCGGCGAGAAGGAAACACAGGGAGGAGGAGGAGAAGAAGCAGAGAGAAAACCUGAAAAAAACCUUGAGGGUGGAAUGCCCCUUCCAAAACCUCUUGAAAGGGAUUUUCCGACUGAAUUGUCAGCAAUACCUCUUGAAGACUUGGAUAAAUACUAUGAGAACCAAAGAACAUUUAUAGUUAUUAGCAAAGGUAAAGACAUUUUUCGGUUUAGUGCCCACAACGCUCUUUGGCUUCUCAGUCCUUUCAAUCCCAUCCGUCGUUCAGCCAUCUAUGUUCUCGUCCACCCAGUAUUCAGCUUUGUCGUCAUUGUUACCAUCCUUGUCAACUGUGUUCUUAUGACCAUGCCUAACAAUGAGAGCAUUGAGCAGUACGAGGUUAUUUUCACAACAAUAUACACAAUUGAAUCAUGCAUCAAAAUGUUAGCUCGUGGAUUUAUACUUGAUAAGUUUACAUAUCUUCGAGAUCCAUGGAACUGGUUAGACUUUGUUGUUAUAUCCCUUGCGUACAUAACAAUGGGAGUAGAACUUGGGAAUCUCAGUGUUUUGAGAACGUUUCGUGUACUUCGAGCCUUGAAAACAGUAGCUAUAAUUCCAGGUUUAAAAACCAUUGUAGGUGCUGUGAUAGAGUCUGUAAAAAACCUGAAAGACGUAAUCAUUUUGACUGUGUUUGCUCUUUCUAUCUUUGCCUUGCUGGGAUUACAGGUUUAUAUGGGUGUGCUUACCCAGAAGUGUAUCUUACAGUGGCCCACAAAUAUCUCAGAUUUGGAAUAUCAAAAUCAUGUUUCAAAUGACACUAACUGGAUAAAGGAAAAUGGAAAAUAUCAAUUAUGUGGAAACAGCUCUGGAGCAAAAAUUUGUCCUAAAGGGUCUGUAUGCCUGCAGGGUUAUGGUGACAAUCCUAAUUAUGGUUAUACCAGUUUUGACACAUUUCCGUGGGCACUUCUAUCUGCAUUCAGGUUAAUGACUCAGGACUAUUGGGAAUCUCUUUAUCAAAUGGUGCUAAAAUCUGCUGGUCCGUGGCAUAUGCUCUUCUUUGUCUUGAUCAUCUUUCUGGGGUCUUAUUAUCUGGUCAACUUGAUCUUGGCUAUUGUGGCUAUGUCAUAUGAUGGGUUACAAAAAGAGGCUGCGAAAGAAGAAGAAGAUGCUGCUGCAGAAGAGGCAGAAUAUGCUGCUAAACAGGCUGCAAAAUUGGCACACGAAGAAGAGGCUGCAGGAAGAAAGGGUGACAAUGUUGUAAACAGUCCAUCAGAGUUUUCAUGUCGGUCUUAUGAACUUUUUGUUGGUCAGGAGAAAAUGACUGAAGAAAAAGACAUGAAAGAGAGAGCUAGCAUAAAGAGUGCAGAAAGUGAGAAUAUGUAUGAGCUAAAGCCUCGAAUAAAUGGUAAAAUCAGAAAGGCCAGCCUUAGUCUUCCUGGCUCACCUUUUAACCUGCGUAGAGGGAGCCGAGGAAGUCAGUUCAGUUGGCGUAAUGGGGGUCGUCGCUUUGGAGACAAGAAGCCCUUGGUUCUUCAAACGUACAGAGAUGCACAAGAGCAUCUUCCUUAUGCAGAUGAUAGCAAUGCUGUAACACCCAUGUCUGAAGAGAAUGGUGCCAUAAUUGUACCUAUGUUCACCAACUUGAAUUCACGACACUCAAGUUAUACCUCUCAUUCCUCUCGGAUCUCCUACACCUCCCACGGUGACAUGUUUAACAAAAAUGUCACAAAGGAGAGCCAACUGAGAUCUCGCUCAAAGAACCUUCAAGGACAUGUUCAUGAGGAUCCUCCAUUUGAAGGUGAGGACUGCAUAACAAAACCAAAACAGACAGAUGAUGAUGCAGCACAGAAACAGACUGUUGUGGAUAUGAAAGAUGUGAUGGUUUUGAAUGAUAUCAUUGAGCAAGCUGCAGGAAGACAAAGCAAAUUAAGUGACCAAGAACAAGAAGAGGAAGAAGGGGAGGAAAUGAAGUUCAGAGAUAGAUGUUUAGCUGAGUGCUUGAAAUACGUUGACAUUUUUUGUGUUUGGGACUGUUGUUGGUGUUGGAUUCGCUUUCAGCAGAUUAUUUCCUUGAUUGUUUUUGAUCCUUUUAUGGAACUUUUCAUAACCUUAUGUAUUGUUGUUAACACUCUUUUCAUGGCCAUGGAUCAUGAUAAUAUGGAUCCAGACUUUGAUAACGUUUUAAAGAAGGGAAACUAUUUCUUUACCGCAACUUUUGCAAUAGAAGCUGCUAUGAAGCUCAUGGCUGUGAGCCCAAAAAAUUACUUUAAGGAAGGAUGGAACAUCUUUGAUUUCAUUAUUGUAGCCUUGUCCCUAUUGGAGCUAACCUUAUCUGGUAUCCAAGGCUUGUCAGUACUUCGAUCAUUCAGAUUGCUUCGAGUUUUCAAGUUAGCCAAGUCUUGGCCCACUUUAAACCUGCUAAUAUCGAUUAUGGGCAAAACUGUUGGAGCCUUGGGUAACCUGACAUUUGUUUUGGCCAUCAUAAUCUUUAUAUUUGCUGUUAUGGGGAUGCAGCUUUUUGGAAAGAACUAUGAUUUAAACAAACAUUUAUUUAUUGAUGGGAAAGUGCCUCGCUGGAAUUUUAGAGACUUUAUGCAUUCCUUCAUGAUUGUGUUCAGAGUCCUGUGUGGAGAAUGGAUAGAGUCCAUGUGGGAUUGUUUGUUGGUGUCUGGCUGGUCAUGCAUCCCUUUUUUCCUAGGAACUGUAGUCAUUGGUAACUUAGUGGUACUGAAUCUUUUUCUUGCCUUGUUGCUUUCUUCAUUUGGAGCAUCUAAUCUCUCAGCACCAACUUCAGACAGUGGUGACACUCAGAAGCUACAAGAGGCUUUUAAUCGAUUUUCUCGGGCAUCCAGAUGGGUUAAAAAUAAUGUUCUUUCACUUCUAAAGAGUAUGAAACCAAAAGCGAGAAACCAAAUUGGUGACCAAACACCAGACCAUCGAGAAGAUAUGGAAGAACAUCUUCCAGUUGGAGACAUGAUUGCUGAUGGACAGGUUCAAAUGAAGGAAAAGAGAAGUCCUAAGGAGCUCACGGAUGUAGAUGUACUGGUUACUGAUGGGCUAGAGAUUGCUAUUCGAGGAGAUGGCAAAGCUGUGACAGUGAAACUUAACAAUAAACCAAUGAUGAAUUCUGUCCACCCACCAGCCAGAGAUGAACACAAGGACAAAAUAUCAGACAGAGAGUUAGAUAACAAAAAGAAGUCUUUAUCUUUUCCUGUUUCUGCCAAGGAGAAAGAGUAUCUGGGUGUUAAGGUAUUUCCACAGAAGGAUGAUGAUACUUUAAGUGUGAAAUCAAGUGAAAGUAUGAAAGAUUGGAAAGAUAAAUCUAAUUUUGAGAAGGAACAAAGUCAAUCAUCUUUCCAUGAAGAAAAAAAAGAUCUUAGUAAAGAAGACCUUGAGGGAAGUGAAGAUUUCCUGGAACACUCAGAAGAAAAUCCAGACACUGAAAUUGCAGACUCUGGGAAUGUAGACUCCACUGCAGAAGAUGUGAUUGUGGAUGAAGAACCUACAGAAUGCUGUCCUGACUGUUGCUAUGUGCACUUUCCCUGGUGUGCAGGAUCAGAAGAGUCUCCACACUGGCAGUCUUGGGAUAAACUUCGAUCUAAAAGUUUUCACUUGGUGGAGAAUAAGUACUUUGAGACACUGGUGGUUACUCUGAUCAUGAUCAGUAGUUUAACUCUGGCUCUUGAAGACGUUCAUCUUAAACAUCGUCCAUUACUAAAGGAGGUUCUUGUAAUUGUAGACAAAUUCUUCACAGUAAUCUUCUUUCUGGAGAUGAUUUUGAAAUGGUUAGCUUUUGGCUUUAAAAAAUAUUUCACAAAUGCUUGGUGUUGGUUGGACUUUGUCAUUGUCUUGGUGUCAGUGGUCAAUCUUGUGGCAACAAUGGCAGGUGUAGCGAAGAUUCAAGCCUUCAAGACAAUGCGAACUCUUCGUGCUCUCCGACCUUUGAGAGCCCUUUCUCGUUUUCAGGGAAUGCGGGUAGUAGUGAAUGCUCUCAUCCAGGCCAUACCAGCUAUUUUCAAUGUGUUGUUAGUUUGUCUCAUUUUCUGGUUGAUAUUUGCCAUAAUGGGUGUCCAGAUGUUUGCUGGGAAGUAUUAUCGAUGUCUUGAUAAUGAAGGAAAUCGAGUAAAUUCCUCUUAUGUGCCAAACGAACAAGCCUGUUCAGCCAGAAAUUUAACGUGGGACAACCCGAUGAUUAAUUUUGAUAAUGUACUGAAUGGAUACUUGGCACUUUUUCAAGUAGCUACCUUUAAAGGAUGGACUGCAAUUAUGGACAGUGCAAUUGACUCUAAAGAAGUGGUUCUUUGGAAAUGUUUAUGACAGAGGAUCAGAAGAAAUAUUACAAUGCCAUGAAAAAAAUGGGAUCAAAAAAGCCGAUGAAAGCUAUUCCACGACCUCGAUUAAAGCUGCAAGCUUUUGUCU